rnacentral:lncRNA from 7 species
GUUCAGGCUGGAGGCAGGAUCCUGGCGGUGUGAGUGGGGUGCCCCUGUGGAGCAAGGUGAGCUGCAUGUUACCUGUGAGGUGGGUGGUGCCCGGGGCCGGAGGCAGUGGCUGUGUGGGUGAUGAUGUGCUUUUUUUUACAGGGUGGAAGGUGCGUGGCAGGUCCUGUCCCGGAGGAGUGGAGUUAAGGGUCCUGGUGUGGCUGUUUUCCUGCAUGGAAGAUGGAGAUCCUGGGAGCUGCGAUGAGGAGGAGCAGAGCCAGCAGUGGCUCCUGUGUGGCGAUGGCUGCUUUGUGUGGUGCUCCUGGGCUGAAAGGAGGAGGAGAAAAAAGUUUUUAGUGUGGUUCUUCAAAGCUCAGCUGGAGAGCUGGGCUGUGCAUCUGUGUUCCUCCAUCUACAAUGAGAAGAAAGGAUUUCCUUUUUUUUUUUAAAUUUUGUUGUUUGUAACAAGUAACAAAUAAAAUUCAAGGGAGCUUGGCAACUGUGUUUGACUGUGAGUGGUUCCAGAAGUCUGACCUUUGUUCUUCUGUCAUUCAUAUUGAACACUGAUCCCUAGGUGCACAGUGCACAAGGAGGCUCUAACCUUCUCCAGUUUCUACACUCACUUGAAGUAAUUAUGGCCAUAGUCAUUUCCCUUCCACAUCAACAUUGG